GAAGGAUUGGAAGUCAGAUUUAAAGAGGUACAAGUUUGAUGCUGCGCUCACUGAUGCACAACUUAUGAAAAGACGUGACAACAGAAUUAGUGAAGCUGACUGGAAGACCCUUAUUACUUAUUGGAGAUCUUCGGCAUUUGAAGCUGUCAAACUUGGGCAUGAUCCUCAGAGAGAUGAAGUUUAUAUCGAAACACAUACAUGCAAGAAAGGAGAAAGGAAAGGGAGUUAUGUGCCACAGGCAGCAGCAUACAAUUGUAAGUCUCUUUUGCCAUGUUUUUCAGUAUUACUCAGAAAUUGUACAAGUACAAUUUAUAGAGCAAGUAAAUAUCAUUUUGUAGAAAGAACUCAUAGAGAGUGCAGAAAAGCACACUGAAUGGAAGGACAAAAGCAUUAAAGAAGGUGAUCUGUUUGCACGUGUAUGUGGACUGAAGGAGCCCAGGGGUCGUGUCCGUGUGUUAGGUCUAGAGCUAACACCUCAAGAUUUGGGCACACCGGGUACACGGGGUAAACUGAGCACAAGAGUUCUAGCUGCAACGAAAGGGCGCUGAGAAGCUGAAAAUCGCUUUAACAUGCUCCAGGGGCAUGUGCAACAAAUGGAGGAACGAAUGAACCGAAUUGAAUUGAUGUUAGCUUCACAAGGAAGGGCAUAAUCUGGAAACUCCUAGCUCGCAGCAUGGUUCCAAUUCUCGACAAGUAAUGAACUAUUUUCACAUCUUUUCAUUGCAUCAUUAAUCCAUCUUGCAUGCACUAACUCUAUUUCCAUAUUGUUGUCUGGUAGAACUCCGGAGUUGAAGAUGAGGAAGAUAACGAUGCCGAAGAAGAUGUUGAACAUGAUGAUGAAGAUCCAUUUGUUCAUAGAAGAGUUGUUGCAAAGCCCCCUGCAAGAAGCUCACCAGCCCAUGAAGAUGAAAGCCUUGCAACGAUUAUCUCAGUUGACCCAGACACUAUUGUGGGCGGAGAGCCCCUUGGACCAGCAACUCAUGAGGUUCUUGUCAAUGUUGCUAUCAGAAGGGAUGCCACCAUGCCUUAUGAAUAUGAUGGUUUACAAAUUAUCGUUGAUGCUGUCACAAGGACCAUUGCGUGGCCAUCUAGCAAGGUAAUCACCUACAAUAUGUGUUCUGUCCACUUAUCUCAAAUUGUUUGAUGUGUGAUACUUACUCAUGAUCACUUUGCUAGAUGAAACCCUACAAACCAGGGGCAUCUUCCUCAUCCCGCCGCCAAGGUACUAUAAAAGAGAUGCUUCUUGGUGCUUUCUUUUGCUCAAAGUACACAAGUUGCUAAGGUACUGUCAUACACCAAAAAUUUAUAGCAUAGCCAUUGUGACCCCACACAUCAGCCACCAAGAUACUCAAAUAGCACCAGCGAUGUACUAGACAACAACACAUAAACUUGUAGGAGAUGUACAAGUGUACAAUAGUUUCUAAAUUUAAUUUAAUUUGU